UGGGGGAGUAUUGCACAAUGGGGGAAACCCGUGAUGCAGCGACGCCGCGUGGGUGAAGGAGCACUUCGGUGCGUAAAGCCCUAUCGGCAGGGAAGAAAAGGGGGAAACCCCGAGACGGUACCUGACUAAGAAGCCCCGGCUAACUACGUGCC
rnacentral:rRNA from 1 species